UACGUAGGGUGCGAGCGUUGUCCGGAAUUAUUGGGCGUAAAGAGCUUGUAGGCGGUUUGUCGCGUCUGCUGUGAAAAUCCGGGGCUCAACCCCGGACUUGCAGUGGGUACGGGCAGACUAGAGUGUGGUAGGGGAGACUGGAAUUCCUGGUGUAGCGGUGAAAUGCGCAGAUAUCAGGAGGAACACCGAUGGCGAAGGCAGGUCUCUGGGCCUGUUCUGACGCUGAGGAGCGAAAGCGUGGGGAGCGAACAGG
rnacentral:rRNA from 1 species